UUCAUCCAGAUAAUAUAAUCAUCUCACCGAUGGGGGAACAGGAGAAUGCAAGAGCCUAUGUGUCAAGAGCUCAUCAAGCCUGGAGAAAUAUUACCGGAAAUGACCCAGAUUUCUACCGUAUGGAACAGUCCAUUCUCCGAGCAAAGAUCCAAGAAGUGCUGCCACCACCAGUCAGAAACAAAUUGGCAGAGGUGGUUGAAUUGGGCAGCAUGAUGAGAAGUGUGUACACUGACCAUGUGACACACCUGGUUGAUUUACAUAGUAAAAGGGAACAAGCUCAGGACCGACAAGACCAGGAGAUGCUCAGAAAGCUCACCCAGAUGCAACURAUGGACACCAGGCAUGGACUUUGGACUCACAUUCUUGGGCAGGACUCAUAAAUCUGUCACAGUACRAAGCCCUUGGACUCUGGGUUGUGUUGGCUCACACACUUUUGCCACAGGAAAAGACUGAACUCAGGCACCAGGGGUGAAAGAAAAAGAAAAAAAACUGCCGUUGUUCGGACCCCUUAUAAUCUUUUUAUGUGUUUAUCCUUUGGUUUUUAUUCCUUAUAUCAUAUUGUUUGAUGUGACAAUCAUUUACUAUAUGUUACUUAUUAUUUUGACUGUCAUAUUAUGACCAUCUUAUGUAGUGAGCUGAGUCUCAUGGAAAUAUCUAACUCACUUUGUAUUAAUGCAUGACUCACAUUACAUUUUGUCCUUACUAGCUUAAGUAACAAACCGGGACGAGAUUGGCUUUGGAAAAUCCCUAAAAUUAGUUUAUGUUAAUUGUUAGAUUCAAACGGAGUUUUCUUCACAGAUUGGCUUGGAGUGAGGAUCUCUCUGGGACCUGCGGUCUUUUCCCCACCCCUGUUUCAUGGGGAGGUUUUUCUGAUCGUGAAUGGUCAUUUUAGGUGUAUUGCGACGAGUCAGCCUUCGGGUCCCCUGCUGUGACACAGRUUUUUGAAGGUGUUUGCGUGGCUUGUUUGUCCAUGUCAGUCAUGGUGGUGUUUACGGUCAGGAGGCCUGGGGGUGUGACUGAUGUAGCCAAUUUUGGCCUCAUUAGGAAUUAGGCUUAGUUUACCUACUUUUAAAGUAAUUUAAAAUAAUGUGCGCUUAGGACUUUAAAAUAGGUUAUUAGCUAAAUUAGACAACCUCUAAAUUUUAGACUUAACCAUUUACUUAUUUGCUAAUGGACAAGUUUUAUUAUCCAAGGAAUUUGAACAGCAAAGCUCUUGUGCUGCAGUACUUUGGUGUUAUUUUUUCUUGAUUUACAGCCAGUCCUUGUUUUUCUCUCGGGACUUGUUCGUCCAUAAGGGGGGUAUUAUGUAGUGUCCAAGAGUGGGGGUUGUCUAAAGAAUGCACACAUGUGCGGGUCAUCAGCCACUCAGCUUCAGAGUUCCACACACAUACACUGUGAUUUAUGUAUGUCUGCUUGCUUAAAGACCUCUGUGCACCCCCACCUUUGGCCUUUCUUUCUCCAUCUUUCUUCUUGGGGUAUCAUUUGCAUUGAAGGCCAUAAUUUGAUUUUAGGCUGUAUUUCUUGAACUGCAGAAAUAAAGUUGCUUGCUGUUCAAACCA